rnacentral:misc_RNA from 1 species
AGAAAGUCCAAUAAAUAAGUCACUGUUAACCUGUUUUCCAUUAACUAGGCUGUUUCUUGGAUCUUUCUUGCAUCUUUCGAGGAAAUUUAACUUCAGAAACUGGAAGAUUAUGUCGAUUAUCACCUUCUAAAUUCUCUUCAAUCGAAAAGAACCAAACAGGUGGAUCGACAUGGGGAACUGUUUAGGAACUCCUGUGAAUAAUCACUACAGCCCUCCCACUACCAAUCCUUAUACUCCAGAAACCUUCGGGAACGGUAGUAAACAUCCUGGGGUCCCGAGUACCAGCAGCAGUAAUAACACCAGCCCAGAAAACGUCAGCGAUAGUGUGAAAAAUGGAAGCAGCAAGAAGGAAACGAGCGGGAAGAUUAUCACCCCGAAUCUUAAAAUGUUCACUCUAGCCGAGUUAAAGAGUGCUACCAGGAACUUCAGACCUGAUACAGUUCUAGGGGAGGGAGGAUUUGGAAGAGUGUUUAAAGGAUGGAUUGACGAGAAGACUUACGCGCCGUCUAAAGUCGGCGUCGGCAUGGCGGUCGCCGUCAAGAAGUCCAACCCAGAUAGCAUUCAAGGCCUAGAGGAAUGGCAGUCUGAAGUGAAAUUCCUGGGGAAGUUUUCACACCCAAAUCUUGUG